AGGAGAGUGUCUAAAGCAAUACGACCGGGAUUUGGAAAUUUGCAAAGGUAUACUGUUCGAAUAUGAAAUCACGUUUUCACCAUCGUAUCCCUAUGAAGAGAAACCUGAAUUGCCGACUAGAUAUUUGACAACAAGGUGCCCAUCUUGGUGUGAUCGAGUUUUGAUGAGCGCUCAAAUGAAUGAAAUAACUAUAAAUAGAAAUACGUCAUAUAAUUUAAUUGGAGAUAAUAUUUGUAUGGGCGAUCACAAGCCUGUUUACUUGAACAUCCAAAUCAAAUCAAAUCAAGCACCGUUAGGUUUUGCAGACUGUCAUGACGACAGACGUUCCAUUGUCCGACCAUGAAGAAGUUCGAAUAGCAAUUAACCGUCUGAAGAACAACAAAGCAGCGGGAGCUCAUGGAUUGCGGGCCAAGCUAUUCAAACACAACGGCGAAGAACUGAUAAGGAGCAUGCAUCAGCUUCUUUAAAAAAAUGGUCGGACGAAAGCAUGCCAAACGAUUGGAAUUUAAGUGUGCUCUGUCCAAUCCACCAAAAGGGAGACCCCACAAUCUGCACCAACUACCGUAGGAUAAGUCUCUUAAAUAUCGCAUAUAAGGUUCUAUCGAGCGUAUUGAAAGAUUAAAGCCCACCGUCAACAAACUGAUUGAACCUUAUGAGCGUGGCUUUAGAACUGACAAAUCAACAACUGACCAGAUAUUCACCAUGCGCAAAAUAUUGGAAAAGUCCGGUGAAAAGGAAAUCGACACUCACCGUCGAUUUCAAAGCUGCCUUUGACAGCACAAAAAGGAGCUGCCUUUAUGCCAAAAACUAUGUCAGGAUCGGGAUGGACCUCUCCGAGCCGUUCGAUACCAAACGGGGUUCAGAUAACUCCUUUUCGAGUGAUUUUCUUCAAUCUACUCUUGGAGAAAAUAGUUCGCGCUGCAAAACAAAAUAGAGAAGGUACAAUCUUCUAUAAGAGUGGGCAGCUGCUAGCGUACGCCGAUUAUAUUGAUAUCAUUGGCUUUAACAACCACGCCACGCAGAACUUUCUCCAGAAUGGAAAAAGCGGCGAAGCAAGUGGGUCUGGUAGUGAAAGAGGACAAGACGAAAUGACUCUUGUGAUCAAACAGACAGUCGUCGCAAUCGCGACUUGGCUCUCACGUCACUUUUGACAGUCAUAACUUUGAAGUCGUAGAUAAUUUCGUCUAUCUUGAAAACAGCAUCAACACCAACAAUAGCUUCGAAAUCCAACGGAAGAUAUCUCUUGCCAACAGGUUCUGCUUCGGACUAAGUAGGCAAUUGAGAAGUAAAGUCCUCUCUGGAUGAACAAAAACAAAACUCUAUAAUUCACUCAUUAUUCCUGUCCUGCUAUAUGGUGCAGAGGAAUAGACGAUAACAACAUCUGAUGAGUCGGCGUUUUUUCGUGAGAAAAGUUCUUCGAAAGAUUUAUGGUCUUUUGCGCGUUGGCCAAUGCGAAAAUCGCAUUCGAUGGAACGAUGAGCUGUAUAAGAUAUAGGACGACAUUGACAUAGUUCAGCAAAUUAAAAGACAGCGGCUACGCUUGCUGAGUCAUGUCGUCCGAAAGGACGAAAACACUCCAGCUCUGAAAGUAUUUGCCGCAGUACCCGCCGUGGGAAGCAGAGGAAGACCUCCACUCCGUUGAAAGCACCAAGUGGGAGGGAACUGGCUUCGCUUGGAAUCUCCAAUUGGCGUCACGUAGUGAAAAGAAAAAACGACUGGCACGCUGUUGUUAACUCGCCUUUAACCGCGUAAGCGGUUUCUACGCCUGUAAAGAAGAAGAAGUGGUUGCCUAGAUUGAUGAACGCGUAUGUUCUAAUGGAAAGAAAAGCUGAGUGAUCCAUUAAGGAUUACGAGUCAAUGAACAUAUGUAAUGCAGACGAAACUGGCUUGUUAUAUAAGUGCGGUUUCAGUAAAAUAUUAAACGCUGACUUAUUAAACAUAUCAUAUUAUCUUUGAGCAACUACUUCUGAGAACUCUUUAUAUUUCGGUACUUUUAAGGAAUACGUCGUCGUUGGUAAAUAAUUUGCUGUAUCUGGUAUGUUGACAGAAAAUGGCAUAUUGGAAGAAGAUACGCAUAUAAGUAACGAACGUGACGAGGAUGAUGAUGACGCCGAAGGAGAUGAAAUUUUAUCCAAUUUAAAAGCCAGAGCGUUAAUUCCUAAAUUAAAACUUUUUUAACACAAUAUGUUAUUGGCAGUGUAUUUGACAACCGUACUGGUUAGGUAGAAAAUUACAAAUUUUUUUAACGCUUAAUUUUUUGGUAUUAUAAUUUUAUUGUUCUAUUUAAUUUUUAUUAAAUUUGUAAAACGUACAAAUAAAUAUACAUACAUAUAUUAUUUUUUUAUUUCCAAUAAAAUUAGAUAUGUAAACAUGAUGUGAAAUAUAAAAGCUCCAUUUAUUCGAAUUUUUCUUUCUUGAGUCUCGAUACAUGGAAAUCUCGAUAAAUCGAAUUCCUGUGUAAUUCGUAAGAAAUUAAAUACCUUACCAUUUCGAAUUAUUGGAACUCGAGUGUAUAUCUAAUAUUAUACUUUCAGUUAAUUUUGCUAACAUAUAAUAUCUUACAUUUUGACUGACAUAUCUUUUAUUGGGUGUAUGAGGAUAGGUAGUAUUGACCCGAUUCAUUCCCAUUCCCAUUUUUGGCAUACAGACAUAUUAUUAUCAGGAAAAGCUCUUCUCUUAUUUUAAAUUAUAUAUCUCUCACAUUGACCAAUAUUUUCUUCAUAGGAUCUAGGCCCCACAGUUCCGGUUUCUGGGGCUAGAAUAGUUAGUGUCCGAUUUCGACAAGUUGUCAUACCUUAAUGGCAUUCGUGCAAAUUUAUGUCCCGAUAUAUUAAUUGGCGCUUGAUUCGUAUACUGGAAAGUGAAAGAAAAAAUCAGAUGGAAUUUAAGUAGGCUUGGUUGUAGCCGAUUUUCGUACUGUAGCAUGAGAAUGUCAAGGUAAUACGCAUACCAAAUCUGGUCGACAUCGGUCGAGUAGAUCCUGAAAUAUAGGUUUUCAUCGAAAUGUGGGCGGUGCCACGACCAUGGUCUGUUUUUGACACCGGCUCACGUAAAGCCAUCUUUUGCCAUCCACAACGUAAAAUCGAGUGCUUCAGACGCAUUAUUGAUUUAUCGCAUUUCUAGUAGUUUUUAACAAAGCCGGUAUAUGGGUGUGAGCAUGUUUUCACGUAUUUUCAUAAUGUCGCAAAAGGUGUUGAAAUGAAAAUUUGAGUGAUAUAUGUAGCUCGAAUGGGAGAUAUGUUUAUUAAACUUAUUAGGGGUAGGGCAACGCUCACUUUUAAACAUUAUCAAUCCGCAUGUGCUUCUCAUUGUUGCGUUUCAUUGUACCAAUAACAAUCUUCAUUUCCGACUUUGUUAUGCCAACAGACGGACGGACGGAUGAACAAAACUUGUAUAAUUUGUAGCAACAUGUUGUACGAGGGCUGUCUGAUAAAUAACCGACCUCAACGUGAAGCUAGCGGCACAUCUGAAAAAAAGUAUCUACUUCAAAUUGUGCAUAUUAUAAUAGCUACUCGCCAAAAUUUCAGAAAUUUAUCUUGCGUAAUUAUCUGUUGACAGUCGUUUUUGUGAGUCUAUUUCGGUGAUUUCCCCAAAAUGGAAAAUAUUGAAUAUCGAGCUGUAAUUAAAUUUGUUACUUUUGAAAGGCAAUACGCCUUCACAAAUCAAAGAUGAGUUGGACACUGUGUAUGGUGACUCAGCACCAUCGUUUACCACCGUAAAAUUUUGGGCAGCUGAAUUUAAACAUGGUCGCAGGAGCUUGGAAGAUGAUGAACGUCCUGGGCGUCCAAACACUGUAACCACUAACGAUAACAUCGCUAAGGUUCAUCAAUUGCUACUAGACGACCGCCGGAUUAAAGUUAGGGAAAUAGCUGAGAUUAUGAAGAUGUCAAAAGAACGUGUUUGUCACAUAUUAAACCAAGAUUUGGGCAUGAGAAAGCUGUCCGCGCGUUGGGUGCCGCGUUUGCUUACGCUAGACCACAAACGUGCGCACAUGAACAUUUCCAGCGCUCUAUUUGGAAGGGUUGCAGAGAUGGGAGCAUCGCUGGGAGAAGUGUGUGGAGUUACAAGGAGACUAUGUAGAAAAAUAAAAAUAAAAAAAUUUGAAAAAGUCGCGUGCAUCAUGGUUAGGUCGGUUAUUUAUCAGACAGCCUUCGUAGAAGUAUAAAAAUGUAGCCUUGUGCGGUGGAAAUGGAAACUGUAUCGGGUCCAUAAACUGCUCAAAUUUCAUUGGCGGCUUGAGAUGCAUUUUUGCCUUUAUCGUAGUAGUAGGUACUGUAAAAUAUGCCGUAUUUUCUCUUUAUUUUGCACCAUGUUUGCGACGCUAUAACUCACGAACGACUUAAAAGAAACGACAAUCAAACACGUGUUAGCGCGUGAAAUGAGCUUUCCAAAAAGGUAUAGCAUGACCCGAUGCGACGAAUAAAACUAGAACUACGCGCUUUCAGCGCCAACUAGCGAAAAUACCGCAAGACUUUUUUGACAACCUAUUAUAUUGAUUUGGUGGGAAAAACGUCAACCAAAGAACCGAAAGUCACUAUAGGACAUAAGGAUUAAGCCAAAACCAAUUUUAGUUAUAUCGAAACAAUGUCAUGUAUGUUCAGAUAUACUUAAGAACUUAUUCUCAAGCAAAUAUAUACAUACAUAAGUAUGUAUAUAAAUAGAAACAUAUAUAGAGUAAAGUCAGCGGGAAGUUUAUCAAUAGGUGUUGUUGUUGUAUAUCUCCAGAGUUACCAAUCCCAAUGUGUACCAUAUAAUUUUGGAAAGGUGAAUGAUUAAGCUGAAUUUAACCAAAAAAAAAGUUAAAUUCGGGCAAUUUGAAAAAAGUUAUGAAGUUCGAAAAUCUUCAUAUUAGGUAUAUGAGAGAUAGGGGAAUAUUGACCCGAUUCAACGUAAUUUUACAUAGCAGUGUGUUAUUAUAAAAGAAUCAUUUUCAUCGAAUUUCAAUAACAUAUCUUAUAUAUUAGCCGAUAUUUUCAGCAAAAAGUUAGCCAUACGCACUGAAGUCCACAUAUUCGAUAUGUGGGAGUUUGAUCCUGUUUUAAUUAUGUACUGGAAAGUAAAAGUCAUAUGGAAUUUUAAAUGACUCUAUUCAGUAAGUAAGCGUGGUUGUUGUCCGGUUUUUAAACCGAUUUCAUUCAUUUUCGCAUGUUUGGUAGGGGUUCUUAAAAUAUUUGCUUUAAGCGAAAUUGCAGUUUUUGGAAAAGUAAUGGUAAACCAAAAAUCAUAGGUGAAGCUAAUAAUAACUUUAUAAAAAAAAUCAGUUUAUGCUUAUGAAAAGGUGAGGUGAAAAUUGUUUCUUUAAUACUGGUCACCAAACCAGUACUGCAUACGUAGAAAAGGCCGUACACAUACACAUGACUAUAUUUUGCUUAAGGCCAUAUUUCCUGCUGAGUAGUCGUUUGCAGACGUACUAGGCUAUAUACGCUUUGUUUAUUAGUGAACAGCAUCAGUUCCUUUUUAGUAGGGCUUAAACCUAGUCCGUAAUUCGCGGCUCAUAGGUGUGAGGCUUUUUCCAUAAUCUCACUUACUUGUUGAAGUUAACAUUCCUGAUAUCAUUAAUAAUAUGUCGCCUCCAUUUGUGUGUUGUUUAUCUAUUUGAUGCUAUAAUCAUUUAGUUCAUAAGCAUAGAUCUUAUUUAUCCUCAAGCCAUGUCGACAAUACCACAAUAUGACAGAGAAUCGGCAAUCGUGCAUAUUUCUAUGUUGUUGAAAGCUUCAUCUAAGCCAAGAAAGGCAGCCAUUGUUUAUUGUUUGUGAAAUAGUGACUCUACAAUUAAGUUAAUCACUUCGUGUUGGCCAGUUUCGGUUGAUUUACCCUUUAUGUAAGCGUAUUGUGCAUUCGAUAAAAUAUCUCCUAACAUUGCCAUGUGUAGAAGUUUACGCAAGUGAGGAAAGUUCUCUGAGCGCCAUUCACUUGGGAGUGGCCAGAAAUGAUACUUCUAAGUAUGGCUCAAGCAGCUCACGACUUCCGAUCUUAGGCCAAGUAUCCUCUGGGUAGCCAAAGAACAUACAUUUGAAGGCGACUUAAAGGAAGAAAGCGAAACAUCACUUACCCAGGGUUGUGAGCUGGGUUUGGGACCCGCCACGUAAAGAACUCUACCAACGAAAAGAAGAAAAAAUCUUCGAAUGAAAGACCCUCUUUUGAUGACCACCACUGAAAAAGUGCUAAGGUUUACCAUUUUAGCGUAUGCACUUGGAAUGCCGGUCCAUUAAUUAGGAAGGGGCCGCUGCCCAGCUGGUUGAUGUUCUCGUUAGAGUAAAGGCUGUCCAGGAAAUACGAUGUAGGCGAGUAGGUCUUUGUGGCAUUACUAUAGUGGCCAUAUAAAGGAGCGCAAAUUCGGUUUAGAAUUCGUAGUGGGAGAGAGACUCCGUCGUCGAGUCAUGGCAUUCACUACGGUGAAUGAAUGUCUAGCCACAAGAAAA